GAUGAACGCUGGCGGCGUGCCUAAUACAUGCAAGUCGAGCGAACGGACGAGAAGCUUGCUUUUCUGAUGUUAGCGGCGGACGGGUGAGUAACACGUGGAUAACCUACCUAUAAGACUGGGAUAACUUCGGGAAACCGGAGCUAAUACCGGAUAAUAUUUUGAACCGCAUGGUUCAAAAGUGAAAGACGGUCUUGCUGUCACUUAUAGAUGGAUCCGCGCUGCAUUAGCUAGUUGGUAAGGUAACGGCUUACCAAGGCAACGAUGCAUAGCCGACAUGAGAGGGUGAUCGGCCACACUGGAACUGAGACACGGUCCAGACUCCUACGGGAGGCAGCAGUAGGGAAUCUUCCGCAAUGGGCGAAAGCCUGACGGAGCAACGCCGCGUGAGUGAUGAAGGUCUUCGGAUCGUACAACUCUGUUAUUAGGGAAGAACAUAUGUGUAAGUAACUGUGCACAUCUUGACGGUACCUAAUCAGAAAGCCACGGCUAACUACGUG
rnacentral:rRNA from 1 species